ACCUCACACUACACAGCAUCUCCCCAUCUUGUAGACUGUGUGUCUUUCCUUGAAGCUCCUGUCACCGUUCUCCCUCAGCCUCUUUUAUCCCUCUAUCCUCCCCAGCAGCUCUUGUCUAUUCAAAUCAAGGGCUGGCGGAAAAGUGCCAGAAGGCAUUUCACUCUGCAAUAUUUCCUUUGGGUGCAAAACCCCAAGUCCCCGCUCUGAUUCGUCAACAGUCGCACAACAACAGAAGUCGGAGUUCACAGCCGUGGCAGAGAGGAUCAUAUUUUAGUGCUGGUUUACAGCAUCCUGGGCCCACAGGAGCCAAGUGUCACACAAAUGCUAUUUACAGCCCUAGAAAAGGAGAAGAGGAACCCAGCAAAUGCAUCCAGCUUUCAGUGUCAUCUGGGAUUCCAGCAAGAGUUUGAUGCUUUCAAUAACUUGUUUUUCCUUGUGGCCCUUCUGCAGCACUUCAGGAGGAGAGAAAAAGAUGGGAAGAUAAAGUGUGUUCAAAGGGAUAGUGCAGACUUCAGAGGGAGCGAUAACAUCAGCCCGGUCCCCUAGAAGUCCUCAGUAAAGUGAACGUAGCCUUUGGGGGGCUGCUGCUCCAGCCGGCUUGUGACAGGUAAAUAAACCAAACCCAGGAACUCAGAAGCUGGAAAAGAAGGAGAAAAACCUUCACAUCAAAUAUUUUAGGAUUUCCAAAACACGAUUAAAAUCCACUAAAUACAUCUGGCUUUUUUUCAUUCAGCACCUUGUUUUCUGUCCAUUAACACUUUUCCUCCCUCUCCUUUCUACAAAUUACCAUUUUAUUUAUGAUGCACCAGUAUGUAAAUUAGCUAUUUACCUCAUCCUUUGUUGUUUUAAUGCAUGUUAGUAACUAGUGUUAUCAGAUUAGCAGCCGUUUUAAAGAAGGCAUGCACCGGGAUGCUCAUAUAAUUAGCACCAUAAAGGAGUGCAUGGCUCUUCUGCAAGCUUCAUAAUUUUUCUAAAAUAAAGAUUGGAUUGCAAUAACAUCACUGAAGAAUCCUCCCUGGGCUGAGAUGUUGCUGUGAGAAUUAUUAAUAAUUCCUCCAUCCUGGUUUUGUUGACCUUUUUGUUCUUCAAGUGGAAAAUUAAUUUAACUUGCUAAAGCACAAUCUGUGGUUAGUUGCAAAGCAUUUCUCUCCUGCAUUUACAUCUUCUAUCUAUGUGCAAAUUACACUUUAAGGUAAGAAAAAACUGUUUUAAGGCUUUUUGUUCAACAAUAAUAACAAUUUGCAGAGUAUUUUGACUAUAAAAAUGUCCUGCUGAGUAAUUGAACAAUGAUGGCAUUGUUUUUAUUACAUCAGGCAACAUUUCUUCUUUGUUGCCUCUAAACACUGACAGAAUAAUUUGAGCACAUUUAUUAAGUUGGGGUAAAAAUCCUCUUCAUGUGAUCCAGACUGUGUGCCUGCUGAACCAUUUCUGAGCUGAUCUAGUCAUGUUUUUAUAUCAGGAUGCUGCUGAAGCAUCCAAUGAGGUCUCAGUUUUCUGCAGAUAAGAAUUUGUAGGGAUUUUGGAGGAGAAACCGACCCACAGCAUCAUAGAUCAGCUACCAUACCAAACACACGUAGGCAGUCAUCCUUUGCUGUUUAACAAGAAUUACUGGGGUUUGAUACUGACAAAUUCAGGAAUGAGGAAGUUCCAGUUGAAGUUUCAGCACAUUUAGUGGAACAGAAAUGUUUGUAAUUGUAUUUAUGAAUCUUUUUAGCUGCACAUUGAUCAGCCUGGAACAACUUUAUCUGAAAGGUACCGACCGUGACGUGAUUCUGCAGGGCUAAAAAACUAUGAUUAGAGUGGAUUUAAUUAUUGUUCUGACUCUCGCAAGAAUUACAUUUUUUGGCAUGUUCAUCUUUCCCAUUUUGAAGAGUCUCAGAACGUUUUGGACUUCAGGAGGAAUCCAGAGAACCCAUGGCUGCAUGGGGAGAACAUGCAAACGCUACGGAGGAAUUUGAACCCAGGACUUUCUUCCUGCAGGGCUGCAGGGCUUCAAACCACUAUGCAGGAAUUGAAAACAGGAAUCUUUGAAAUGCAGGAUUUCUAGGUUCUUAAUGGUUAAACCAUGGUACAUUUACCUAACAGAAAGCCCUUUGCAGCAUGGAAAGUGGGAAUUCUGAUCAUUUGAAAUGCAAAAAGCAUCAGAAAAUGUGCGCCGCUCUUUUUGCUGGUCUGUUUUUAUGCAUCUAUUAUGUCUAUUUUAUUUCUGUUGCUUUUGGAAAAACUACCAAUUUUACAGAGAGAAUAACAACCUGGUUGAUGUUUAGGAAAAGAUUUGAUUUGCUUUAGAUAAGAUCUGGAGAGUUUUUAUGUGUUUUUAUCUCCAUUGCCUGUUUUCUGGGGUUAUUCAGUAAAACCAAGGAGAUGUGAGGAAGGUUCUCUUUUGUUUGGUAUUUUCAUGUUAAUUUCUUUUAGAAUAAGGUUAAAAUGUUUGCAGAAAGCUGUCAACAUAUUUUAGAAUAUAACUGGAAUUCCCAGAUUAACCUCUUCUGGUUCAACAAAUCAGUUUUAUAUUUCUGUUGAGACAACAAUCCAACUGUUAACAUGGAUAUGCAUGGAUGUAAAGAGUUUUGCCCACAUUUGUAACGGAAACGCAGUUUAUGACGGUAAAAUACAUUUAAAGAUUCGACUAUAUGCAGAAGCCAAUCGGGAACUUUGCUGUGGAAGUGUUUGCAUUUCAGUGCCGUUUGCCAAAACGAUGACUGGGCUGCUACUUCCCUGUAUCCAAAGCAGUAAGUUGAUGUGGGGAUCAAUAGAUAGAACGAUGGAUCAACUCAUUUCUUUUAGCACUGAUUCAUUUCUCAAUAGCCACAAGAGGAAAGUGGAAGAUUUAGCUCUUAUAACCGGCCAGUGUUUGCUUGAUUACUAUUCCAAAUAUUGCUCUUUGUGCAGAUUCUUGCUUUCAGUUACACCCCAGAGUGUUUUCAUUGGCUUUGACCUCCCCAGGAAGCAAACCCAGGGGUCGGCAUUACCAUUCAUAUAAACAUGUUGUUCAUUUAUACUCCUCUGCUCAUAGCUCAUUGAUGCAGAAAUGGGGAGCGUUUUGCGUGCGUCCAAUUUUAAUGACUUCCCCAACCCCAGCCAAUAAAAGAAGUGUACAUGUGUGGAAGUAGCAGCUGGAAAUGAAGGGUGGCUGCUGGUCAGCCUGAACACAGCCUUGUUAAAAAGUCAAUUAAGGAGAAACAAAGAGGGAGCAGAGGACAGAAAUAUUUCUCCUCACAGCAGCUUUUUCAUUCUCGCAAUGCUUGGAGCAGCUUCAGCAAAUGAGUGCAAGGAUUAUUUAUAAGCACAACUCGUCUCCUUGAAGUGAAAGACGGCGGAGUCCGAGAUUAUGACUGUUUCUUGACAAAUUUGACAUCAAAAACUGUUGUUGCAAACAUACAAUUUCACACUUGCUCUUCAAUCUUCUCUGGUCCUCGUGUGGAAAAGAAGUGUCUUGGAAUUGCUAAACUGAGGUUGAUGUUUUUUUUUUUCUUUUUUACACCAUCUGGUUUGGGAAGUAAUCUAAAACAAACACACACUUCAGAUGAUAAAGCUGUGUCUGCUGCACUUUAAAUUCAAUCAGCCAGAGGCAUCCGCAGACACUUUCAGGGACGCAGUUUAUUGCAGAAAGGGUACGUUAAACACAGCAGCUAUGAAUCUGUCAAGUGUUUCCCUGCUGGAUGUGGGAUUAGUCGAAUUCUUUCGGUUGUAAAUUUUAAAGUAUUUCAGCAUACUUUAGCAGUGCGAUAACAUGUAGACUCGGAUUGUCUCCCCCGAGUAUUUUAAUUUGGCAAGAAAAGUCUGCGGCCAAACAUGAAAUCCUUCAUUCCAGCUUCUCUGCUGGUUUCCUGGCUGAGCUUUAAUCUUUUGUCCAGUCAAUACAGCUAAAAACAGAAAACCUGCUUCUUUUUACAGAAACAGCUGCCACUACAGAAGCAUCUGAAUUAAUCUAUAAAUGAAAAUGAAAUACACGUUUGUGUUGUUCUGUACUGCUGAACCGUUUUGUGUCUGACUCAUCUGCCUCAAAAUGUUUUUCUCAGCAAAAUGAUUGAGACAAACUCAGAGAAAAUGUUGAAAUUCUGUCUUUUCUGCUUUCCAAUAAAAUGUUUUGGUUGAAAAAAAAUUGUAAGAAACACAUAAUGUCUCCAAAGAUAACAGCUGACAAUGAAUGUAUAGGAUGCAGGUUGUGAAGUGGAUUUAUUCCAACACAAAGUAGUUAAUGAGUAUUACAUGGUUAAUAAGGCAUAAGCCCAAAACUCAAGAUGUUAUAAUUAAAGAUGAUCAUGAACUGAACUGAAAUGACAUUUAAAAAAUAAAGAAAGGUUAUUAAAAAAAACUCUGAAGUAAAAAUAUUUAAGCUGUUGCUCCUCUGGGAACAUGCAGAGAUAUUUGUAAUCAUUCCAAGAAGACAAACAGUUUUGUGUUUACUGGCUGUUACAGCAUUUUAAAAAUAUGCAAAUGAUCCGAUUCCCCAAUGCGAAGCCCAUCUCAGACGGGUCAGAGUUGUGCAAAGCAUUACGUACAUCUUUGUUUCUCUGUGAUGUAAAACAAUAAAGCAAUAAAGUAAAUGUUUGCCUGCA